GUACUGAUGAGGAGUCCCAUAAUAGAAGGAAACGGCUGUCCAGUGC
rfam:Schistosoma rodhaini strain Burundi genome assembly, scaffold: SROB_scaffold0012170